UUGUUUCUCCUUUUAGUUACUSACUAAAAUCCAUGAUAUGUAUAGCAAGUGGCUGCCUCUGGAGAAUUAAUGUAGGAUCACUUGUCCUGGCAGAUUUGAAGGGAGGAAAAGAAAUUGUUUUAUCAAUAAAUAAAGAGAUGAUGAAAGAAACCCAUUGGCUUUGAAUCCUCCCAGCACCUUUCUGUACCUUAUUCCAAGUGGAGCUCAAUUCAAACUCCUAUAGAUGCCCCUUCUAUUUCUGAAAAAAACAGCAGCCCUCAUGGCAUGAAAUCUUCUGGAAUGACAAGCUCAAAAAGAUGUUUU